rnacentral:lncRNA from 1 species
AACUCUUGCCACCCAACUCCCGGCCUGAGUGGCAUCAACCUGACCACCUACGUGCAGCCCGGCUGUGAGAGUCCCUGUGAGCCCUGCUGUUAAGCAGUCAAGUCUUCCCAGGUUCAGUGGCCUGUCUGCUCAGCAUCCUCUCUUUCACCUGCCCUUCAAUAACUGCUUCUGCUUGCAUCAAAGCUCAAUCAACCCCAAUGCCCAGAAACAGGGGCCCAUGGACAUGUUUAAAUUCUUAAUGCUUUAUUCCUUUGGGAACAGAUGAAUGAUGUCUCUCUUUUAAGCUCAUUCCUGCUUUUUUUGAGAGAUAACCAUUUGGACUACUUAUUAAUAAACUUCAUUCUGGCUUAGC